rnacentral:rRNA from 1 species
UACGUAGGGUGCGAGCGUUGUCCGGAAUUAUUGGGCGUAAAGGGCUCGUAGGCGGUUUGUCGCGUCGGGAGUGAAAACCUUGGGCUUAACUCAGGGCUUGCUUUCGAUACGGGCAGACUAGAGGUAUGCAGGGGAGAACGGAAUUCCUGGUGUAGCGGUGAAGUGCGCAGAUAUCAGGAGGAACACCGGUGGCGAAGGCGGUUCUCUGGGCAUGAUCUGACGCUGAGGAGCGAAAGUGUGGGGAGCGAACAGG